GAUGAACGCUGGCGGCAUGCCUAACACAUGCAAGUCGAACGAGAUCUUCGGGUCUAGUGGCGCACGGGUGCGUAACGCAUGGGAAUCUGCCCUUUGGUUCGGAAUAACAGUUGGAAACGACUGCUAAUACCGGAUGAUGACGAAAGUCCAAAGAUUUAUCGCCAGAGGAUGAGCCCGCGUAGGAUUAGCUAGUUGGUGUGGUAAAGGCGCACCAAGGCGACGAUCCUUAGCUGGUCUGAGAGGAUGAUCAGCCACACUGGGACUGAGACACGGCCCAGACUCCUACGGGAGGCAGCAGUGGGGAAUAUUGGACAAUGGGCGAAAGCCUGAUCCAGCAAUGCCGCGUGAGUGAUGAAGGCCUUAGGGUUGUAAAGCUCUUUUACCCGGGAUGAUAAUGACAGUACCGGGAGAAUAAGCUCCGGCUAACUCCGUGCCAGCCGCCGCAGUAA
rnacentral:rRNA from 1 species